CUACGGGUUGCACCAGUGAGGAAUAUUGCACAAUGGGGGGAACCCUGAUGCAGCAACGCCGCGUGGAGGAUGACGCAUUUCGGUGUGUAAACUCCUUUUAUAUGUCAAGAAAAUGACGGUAGCAUAUGAAUAAGCACCGGCUAACUCCGUGCCAGCAGCCGCGGUAAUACGGAGGGUGCAAGCGUUACUCGGAAUCACUGGGCGUAAAGGACGCGUAGGCUGUUUAGCAAGUCAGAUGUGAAAUCCAAUGGCUCAACCAUUGAACUGCAUUUGAAACUGCUAGACUAGAGUAUGGGAGGGGGAGAUGGAAUUAGUGGUGUAGGGGUAAAAUCCGUAGAUAUCACUAGGAAUACCUAAAGCGAAGGCGAUCUCCUGGAACAUUACUGACGCUAAGGCGUGAAAGCGUGGGGAGCAAACAGGAUUAGAUACCCCUGUAGUC
rnacentral:rRNA from 1 species